UGCAGUCGAGCGGGAUUGGACCAGCAAUGGUCCAUGAGAGCGGCGCACGGGUGAGUAACGCGUACACGACCUACCUCUAACAGGGGGAUAGCCCUGGGAAACUGGGAUUAAUACCGCAUAUAAUUCUUAUUUUAAAAGGUGAGAAUGAAAGUUGAGGCGGUUAGAGAUGGGUGUGCGUCUGAUUAGCUAGUUGGUAAGGUAACGGCUUACCAAGGCGAUGAUCAGUAGGGGGCGUGAGAGCGUGGUCCCCCACACGGGUACUGAGACACGGACCCGACUCCUACGGGAGGCAGCAGUAAGGAAUAUUGGUCAAUGGGCGAAAGCCUGAACCAGCCAUCCAGCGUGCAGGAAGAAGGCCCUAUGGGUUGUAAACUGCUUUUGUCAGGGAAGAAACCUCUGGAUUUACUCCGGAGCUGACGGUACCUGAAGAAUAAGCACCGGCUAACUCCGUGCCAGCAGCCGCGGUAAUACGGAGGGUGCGAGCGUUAUCCGGAAUUACUGGGUUUAAAGGGUGCGUAGGCGGCCAGGUAAGUCAGGAGUGAAAGUUUGCGGCUCAACCGUAAAAUUGCUUUUGAUACUGCCAGGCUAGAAUUAGGAUGA
rnacentral:rRNA from 1 species